AAAUUGAAGAGUUUGAUCAUGGCUCAGAUUGAACGCUGGCGGCAGGCCUAACACAUGCAAGUCGAGCGGCAGCGGAAAGUAGCUUGCUACUUUGCCGGCGAGCGGCGGACGGGUGAGUAAUGUCUGGGAAACUGCCUGAUGGAGGGGGAUAACUACUGGAAACGGUAGCUAAUACCGCAUAACGUCG
rnacentral:rRNA from 1 species